rnacentral:rRNA from 1 species
AUUGAACGCUGGCGGCAGGCCUAACACAUGCAAGUCGAGCGAGCGGCGGACGGGUGAGUAAUGCCUGGGAAUUGCCCAGUAGAGGGGGAUAACCGUUGGAAACGACUGCUAAUACCGCAUACCAUUGGAUUGCCCAGGUGGGAUUAGCUAGUUGGUGAGGUAAUGGCGCACCAAGGCGACGAUCCCUAGCUGGUCUGAGAGGAUGUUCAGCCACACUGAACCUGAGACACGGUCCAGACUCCUACGGGAGGCAGCAGUGGGGAAUAUUGCACAAUGGGAGAAUCCAUGAUUCAGCCAUGCCGCGUGUGUGAAGAAGGCCUUCUGUUUGUAAAGCACGUUCAGCGAGGAGGCGUUACUCGCAGAAGAAGCACCGGCUAACUCCGUGCCAGCAACCGCGGUAAUUC